AUGGCGAAGACAUGCCUGCCGAUGGCUGCGGCCGCUGUGCUUCUGCUCCUGAUGGUGGCCACGGCCCAGGGCAUCAGGCUGGAUGCGGUGAGCAAGGCGGCACUCAGUAACCCUGUGCUCAAUGCUGAUGGUGCUGAGCCAUCAUCAGGGGAAGAGGUGGAGGAGGCCGUCUCUGAAGAGAAAGAGAGGGCAGGUCAUAGGAUGCCUGAGAUCCAUGUGGACUACUAUGGCCCCAGGGGCCAUAGCGCCAGGCACCACUGA
rnacentral:rRNA from 1 species